rnacentral:tRNA from 1 species
GGCCGGUUAGCUCAGUGGUUUGAGCACGGUGCUGGCAACACCGAGGUCGCGGGUUUGAUUCCCACUCCGUCCC